rnacentral:rRNA from 1 species
AGAGUGAACGCUGGCGGUAGGCCUAACACAUGCAAGUCGAACGGCAGCACAGUGGUAGCAAUACCAUGGGUGGCGAGUGGCGGACGGGUGAGGAAUACAUCGGAAUCUACCUUUUCGUGGGGGAUAACGUAGGGAAACUUACGCUAAUACCGCGUACGCCCUUUGGGGGAAAGCCGGGGAUCGCAAGACCUGGCGCGGAUAGAUGAGCCGAUGUCGGAUCAGCUAGUUGGUGAGGUAAUGGCUCACCAAGGCGACGAUCCGUGGCUGGUCUGAGAGGAUGAUCAGCCACACUGGAACUGAGACACGGUCCAGACUCCGUACGGGAGCAGCAGUGGGGAAUAGUU